UACAGAGGGUGUGAGCGUUAAUCGGAAUUACUGGGCGUAAAGCGUGCGUAGACGGCUAUCUAAGUCGGGUGUGAAAGCCCCGGGCUCAACCUGGGAAUUGCAUUCGAGACUGAAUAGCUAGGGUACGGUAGAGGGAAGUGGAAUUUCCGGUGUAGCGGUGAAAUGCGUAGAUAUCGGAAGGAACAUCAGUGGCGAAAGCGACUUCCUGGACCAGUACCGACGUUCAGGCACGAAAGCGUGGGGAGCAAACAGG
rnacentral:rRNA from 1 species